AGAAUGUCCCAGCUAGGAGACCUAGCCUAAAAGCGCCAUCUACUCAACAGAGAUACCAAGGCUGGGGGCAGAGGGUGGGGAAUGGGGAUGGGACAAGGUAAACAGACUAACCAGACCAGGAGAUAGGUAGGCUCAGUUAUAGAUGUCUCCUGUCCAAUGGAUGCCCAACAAGUUUGGGCAGAAUGUCCUUCCCACCCUUCCCCCACGCAGCUCAGUCUUGGGCUGAGCAGAUCAGGUCAUCAGUACCAGGCUCCAGGUUCUUCCCCAAGCUUUCUGGAAGUUGGGUCCUGGACUGUGAUUAUCUCUCAAGCAGCCUGCCCUUGGAGAGGGGGAGGGCAGUGCUUCCUUCCCAUCCCUUUCCCAUUAACUGAGACUAAGAACAGCAGCAUGGAAACACUGAGGUGAGGGGCUGGGGUGUGGCUAGCACCUGCCCAACUGUUGAAACCUCCCUGGGAUCCAUCCCCAGAAAAGUCAGUUGCACAAGAUCUUGCCAGUGUCCUUAACCUACCUCCCAGAAGGGGAGUUUUACAUAACCAGAAUGGUGGGCACAGCAGAGGCAGGGAAACUGAACAAUAGGUAAUUGGAAGGUUGGAUCUCUUCCACUGAUAAACACCUCGCCCAGACCUCACCAGAGCUCCUAGUCACUGAGGUAGGUGGGUGGGUGGGGCAGGUUAGCUGGGUGAUCCCAAAGUCCACAAUCCCUGAACUCCAGUCAAUGGACCACUCUUCCGCACACCUGCGACUUGUUCCCAAGUGCCUGCCCUCAGCAUAAAAGGCCUGAGAUUGUACAUUAACCUCCAGAUACUCAUCUUCUCCCCCUCCCUAUGUUGGCCUCACUCUCCUGAGGGACUGCAAGCCGCCCAGCACCAGAGACUGGUUUAUUCAUUGUUGCCCUUCCUACCCUUGGGACGGUGCCUGACAUUCAGUAGGUGCUCAAUAAGCAUUUGCGGUGCAACCGGUGGUACACACCUGCAGUUUCAGCCACCUGGGAAGCUGAGGCAGGAGAAUUGAAUGGGUGAGCUCCUGUAUUUAGAAAGACACUCCUGUCAGCGGUUUGUUCACCUUCGGGGCAAGUUGGAAGCCACUGAGUGAGGCGACGCCCUCACUGAGCUGUAGUCUGGUUGGUCAGCUAGGACAGAAGAGGCCAGAGGGUCACAAGCCAAGGAUGUGCACAGUGGGCUGGUGGGCUUGUACGUUCUGCAGUGUGUUCUGCAGGGCAUUCUGCGGGGUGGCAGGUCACAAUGGGCCAUUGUUUGUACAGACCAAGUGACAGAACCUGGAACAGUAUGACGCUGUUUUUGUUAAAAACAAAACCAAACCACAACUGGCUAGCAGGCUAGCUGGUUGGCUGGCUGGCCUGCUGAGCAAAUCCUUACUCCCACAAGGAAAUGAAAAUGGACCCAGAAAGUGAUAAAAGCAGUCUGCAUUCCGACAGACACUGCAGGUACCACACAGCUAGAGCUGCAUGUGAGAGCAACAGAUAGUCUUAAGAUCUUUAUUUAGUCAUUUAUUAGCAUUGGGGGAGGAACCCAGCGCCUCACACUUGGCAAGCAUGCAAUCCCCAGCUUAUACCCUCAACCCAACCUUUUAUAUGGAUAUUUUGUAAUGAUCUGAAGGGAAUAUAUUUUAGCUUCUGUGAGUUCUGUAUUGCUUGAGGUAUAUAAUUUUUGUAACUG
rnacentral:lncRNA from 1 species